rnacentral:lncRNA from 1 species
AACGAAUUGUAACUGUGAGGUCACUCAGUUGCUGGCGGUGCUCUGUUUGUGCAGUUUUACCACUUUUUCUUUGAAGCUGUUAUUGAGCCAUAUCAACAGACUGCACAGCCGCAGUCCGAACUUUUGGCUGCUAGUGACUAAUUCCUGCUACCACCACAUUAAAAGAAGACACCCGCUAUACUUACGUGAUGAUAUCCAGCCAACUGAUGAAGAAACGGGAGGUCAGACGCCAGUGGAGGGGCUAGACGCAGAUGCACGAUCAUUGGAGGAGAACGGAUCCAGAUUGCUGCUGCUGCAAACCAGUACAACGGACUUUCUACAACCUGUCUCACCUUCAGCUGAGCAAGAUAAUAUUGAUCAGCCACUUCAGAUGUCUGCCUCAAAUGAAGAGGAGCUGAACACAAAACAAGAUGGAACUAUUCCUACUGAAGAAAAAUCUGUGAACACCAUUGUUGCUGGAGUACAGCAGUACCAGUCUUCUCUAAUGGACCACCUCAAGAAGCAGAUGAAGGACGUGCUGAAGAAACAUUCUGGCAAUGCCUCCUCAAGUCAACUGGAAAGGAAUGCCCUGGAUGUAUUUGACCGGUUUGUUGAUCCAUUUGCUGAGGUGGCAACAACCUUUCGACAGGACAGUAUCAUGAAGAAACAUUUGAUUCUUUGGAAGUAGAGGAAAUUCCUAUUGCUCAAAUCAUAUGCAUAAAAAAAGAUGCGAACUACUCUAUCAAGAGCAAACUGUUUUACUAUGUGCUUUUAGUUGAAAGUUUGGAGCAGUUUCUCUCACAUCCCAGGAUUUGGUCAAUGAUUGAUGGUGAGCUUUUCAAGUCACACCCUGUAUUUUCUACCAAACCAGAUACACUGCAGAUAAUUUUGUACACGGAUG